AAAACUAAGUGCUAGGAUUUAGGUCUCCUCCACUUGACUUUAGUGGACUUAUGUGAAGACCUCACCAUUGGUGAAAAUGGUGUGUGAUUUCCUAGCUCUGUCAUUGCCAUCCACUUCAUACUGUGCUCCUGGGACACAUGCUCUUGUGCUGCAAACUACCUACUGUGACAAAGGAGAAGAAGGCCGUAUGUCCCCAAUGUUCAGCACCAUCUGACUGGUGCCAUAUGUGCCAAUAUACCAGCCAUCUAUAAGAGGGAGCCUUGGUGUCCUAUCCCUGCCCUCCAGUAAGCCACAUGAAACAGAAAUAAGCCUCGUCAGAUUCCUACUCUGUGUAACAAACUCCCACAAAUGCACAGAUAUUCUAAAGUGAUGCCAGCCGGUUGGAUCAUAGUUCCGAAAGUUGGAAAACUCUGUGCACCAUCACACACCUGAGAGCAAAGUUUACUUCACAUACUGAGUCCCUGAGAUACACAGCCACGUCUGUCCAAAUUCAUUCUCCCUGGCAGAAUCCUGCUCUUGUAUUUCAGAGACUGAGACCUUUGUUUCCUGAGUAUGAGGCGCUUCAGCUGGCAAGAGAAGCUUCAAAUCUCUGCAAUUUACAUCCUUAACGUCCUCUUAUUCCACCAACUUGAGAAAACUCUGCCUUUAAAGGAGUCCUGGGAUUGUGUUAGAAGGAUUGAGAAAAUCUUAUCUGUGCUUGACGAAUCUGAACUGCAGUGGCUUUCUAGUCUGAGGAUGAUUUUUGCCUUAAGAGUAGUCAGAAGAGGAGUCUUCAACUUCUAGAGCACUGGGAUCAAAGGCAAGCAUCACUGAGCUCUCUCAGACGCUGUACCACCAACCAGGCACAGAGAGCUGGUCUGAGGCCCCCGACACAUACACAGCAAAGGACUGCCUGGUCUGGCCUCAGUGGGAGAAGAUGUGGGCCUAAACCUUGAGAGACUUGAGGCCCCGGGGGUGGGUGGCCCGGCCAGGGGGCAGGGGACAACCUCUUAGAGACAGGAGGAGGAGGAGGAAUAGGAUGAGGGACUGUAGGAGGGCAAACCAAAAGAGGGUUAACAACUGGACUGCAAAAAAAAUAAAAGUAAUUCUUAAAAAAAAAAAAAAAAAAAGAGGAUUCUUCAUAAGAUUCAAAAGAGAAACCCGGAGCUGCUUCUUCAUUCCAUCCUGAAGUUCAGUGUAGAGAACCAGACGCCAUUUCAGCUCUGAGUUUUGCAGCAGAUCAACUUG
rnacentral:lncRNA from 1 species